GCAGUUAAGCGUGCUUGGGCGAGAGUAGUACUAGGAUGGGUGACCUCCUGGGAAGUCCUCGUGUUGCACCUC
rnacentral:rRNA from 1 species